AUUAGAGCGACUGGUGGGGUUCAGAAGGAUAUGAUAUUUAUUAAUUCGAGAGACAGAGAGAUAAGAGAGAAUGAGAGACACACACACACACAGACAUACAGCAGUGGCACAGAAACACACAGCCCCAGGCAACCCCUGAGGCUUUGGGGUUCUGCUCUCCACGAGAUCGAUGCUGGGAUGAGACAGGAGCCUAUGGAUACACAGGCAGACCUGUCCUCAAGAUCAUGGCCUGCACGAGUUUUGGGGAGACUCACCCGAUCCCUGCCUGUAAUCCCAGCACUUCAGGAGGUUGAGGCCAGCGGAUCACCUGAGGUCAGGAGUUCUAGACCAGACUGACCAACAUGGUGAAACCCUGUCUCUACUAAACAUACAAAAUUAGCCAGGCAUGGUACUUGGAAUGGACUGGUCCUUUCAUUUCCUCGAUUUCUCCCUUUAUUCUUUUGAGUGAAGGCAUAACUCAUGUUGUUACACUUUGCAGAUACUGUGUUUUUCACACAUUGAAGGUUUUGGCAACCAUGUGUGGAGUGUCUAUCUGUUCCACGUUUCUAUCAUCAUGUGCUCAGUUUGUGACUGUCACAUUUUGGUAAUUCUUACAAUACUUCAAACUUUUCCAUUACUAUUACUCUGUUAUGGUGAUCUGUGAUAGGUGGUCUUUGAGGUAACUGUUGUAACUAUUUUGGGAGGCCAUGAACCAG
rnacentral:lncRNA from 1 species